UGCAAGUCGAGCGGACAGAUGGGAGCUUGCUCCCUGAUGUUAGCGGCGGACGGGUGAGUAACACGUGGGUAACCUGCCUGUAAGACUGGGAUAACUCCGGGAAACCGGGGCUAAUACCGGAUGGUUGUUUGAACCGCAUGGUUCAAACAUAAAAGGUGGCUUCGGCUACCACUUACAGAUGGACCCGCGGCGCAUUAGCUAGUUGGUGAGGUAACGGCUCACCAAGGCAACGAUGCGUACCCGACCUGAGAGGGUGAUCGGCCACACUGGGACUGAAACACCCCCCAAACUCCUACGAGAGGCAGCAGUAGGGAAUCUUCCGCGAUGGACGAAAGUCUGACGGAGCAACCCCGGGUGAGUGAUGAAGGUUUUCUUAUCCUAGAGCUCUGUUGUUA
rnacentral:rRNA from 1 species